UGGCCAGCAGGCGGUGGAACAGGGAUUUUGACAUGAGCUGUGACUCCCAGACGCCGUGCAGUUGACUGGGCUGCCAUCCGGAGCUUCCCUGGGGCCAGGAACUGCCUCGCAGGCCUGACGGGAUUCAGAUAUGCACCAAUGCACACUUUGGAGGAGAGGACCCUGAGCCUGAUCCUUCGCCUGGCCAGCUGCCCCGCAUGUGCUGUCCUGGAGCACCUCCCAAAACGUCAUUCACACACUGCUGUGGUCCUGGCUGCCACCCACCUUUCUCCUUUCUAAUGACAGGGUCCUCAGUCCCCCAGCAAGUGGGGAGAGAGUCAAACAGCCGGUAGUGGCCAGCCAGGACAGUCCCCAC
rnacentral:lncRNA from 1 species